AUUGAACGCUGGCGGCAUGCCUUACACAUGCAAGUCGAACGGUAACGCGGGGCAACCUGGCGACGAGUGGCGAACGGGUGAGUAAUGUAUCGGAACGUGCCCAGUUGUGGGGGAUAACUGCUCGAAAGAGCAGCUAAUACCGCAUACGACCUGAGGGUGAAAGCGGGGGAUCGCAAGACCUCGCGCAAUUGGAGCGGCCGAUAUCAGAUUAGGUAGUUGGUGGGGUAAAGGCCCACCAAGCAAACGAUCUGUAGCUGGUCUGAGAGGACGACCGGCCACACUGAGACUGAGACACGGACCAGCCUCCUACGGGAGGCAGCAGUGGGAAAUGUUGGACAAUGGACGCAAGUAUGAUCCAGCCAUGCCGCGUGCGGGAAGAAGGCCUUCGGGUUGUAAACCGCUUUUGUCAGGGAAGAAAAGGGCGACUCUAAUACAGUUGCCUCAUGACGGUACCUGAAGAAUAAGCACCGGCUAACUACGUGCCAGCCGCCGCCGUAACAC
rnacentral:rRNA from 1 species